rnacentral:rRNA from 1 species
UACGUAGGGUGCAAGCGUUGUCCGGAAUUAUUGGGCGUAAAGAGCUCGUAGGCGGUCUGUCGCGUCUGCUGUGAAAACCUGGGGCUUAACCCCGGGCCUGCAGUGGGUACGGGCAGACUAGAGUGCGGUAGGGGAGACUGGAAUUCCUGGUGUAGCGGUGAAAUGCGCAGAUAUCAGGAGGAACACCGGUGGCGAAGGCGGGUCUCUGGGCCGUAACUGACGCUGAGGAGCGGAAAGCAUGGGGAGCGAACAGG